GAACAGAUAAGGAGCUUGCUCCUUUGACGUUAGCGGCGGACGGGUGAGUAACACGUGGGUAACCUACCUAUAAGACUGGAAUAACUCCGGGAAACCGGGGCUAAUGCCGGAUAACAUGUUGAACCGCAUGGUUCUACAGUGAAAGACGGUCUUGCUGUCACUUAUAGAUGGACCCGCGCCGUAUUAGCUAGUUGGUGGGGUAACGGCCUACCAAGGCGACGAUACGUAGCCGACCUGAGAGGGUGAUCGGCCACACUGGAACUGAGACACGGUCCAGACUCCUACGGGAGGCAGCAGUAGGGAAUCUUCCGCAAUGGGCGAAAGCCUGACGGAGCAACGCCGCGUGAGUGAUGAAGGUCUUCGGAUCGUAAAGCUCUGUUGUUAGGGAAGAACAAAUGUGUAAGUAACUGUGCACAUCUUGACGGUACCUAACCAGAAAGCCACGGCUAACUACGUGCCAGCAGCCGCGGUAAUACGUAGGUGGCAAGCGUUAUCCGGAAUUAUUGGGCGUAAAGCGCGCGUAGGCGGUUUUUUAAGUCUGAUGUGAAAGCCCACGGCUCAACCGUGGAGGGUCAUUGGAAACUGGAAAACUUGAGUGCAGAAGAGGAAAGUGGAAUUCCAUGUGUAGCGGUGAAAUGCGCAGAGAUAUGGAGGAACACCAGUGGCGAAGGCGGCUUUCUGGUCUGCAACUGACGCUGAUGUGCGAAAGCGUGGGGAUCAAACAGGAUUAGAUACCCUGGUAGUCCACGCCGUAAACGAUGAGUGCUAAGUGUUAGGGGGGUUUCCGCCCCUUAGUGCUGCAGCUAACGCAUUAAGCACUCCGCCUGGGGAGUACGGUCGCAAGACUGAAACUCAAAGGAAUUGACGGGGACCCGCACAAGCGGUGGAGCAUGUGGUUUAAUUCGAAGCAACGCGAAGAACCUUACCAAAUCUUGACAUCCUUUGACCGCUCUAGAGAUAGAGUUUUCCUCUUCGGAGGACAAAGUGACAGGUGGUGCAUGGUUGUCGUCAGCUCGUGUCGUGAGAUGUUGGGUUAAGUCCCGCAACGAGCGCAACCCUUGAACUUAGUUGCCAUCAUUCAGUUGGGCACUCUAAGUUGACUGCCGGUGACAAACCGGAGGAAGGUGGGGAUGACGUCAAAUCAUCAUGCCCCUUAUGAUUUGGGCUACACACGUGCUACAAUGGACAAUACAAAGGGCAGCGAAACCGCGAGGUCAAGCAAAUCCCAUAAAGUUGUUCUCAGUUCGGAUUGUAGUCUGCAACUCGACUACAUGAAGCUGGAAUCGCUAGUAAUCGUAGAUCAGCAUGCUACGGUGAAUACGUUCCCGGGUCUUGUACACACCGCCCGUCACACCACGAGAGUUUGUAACACCCGAAGCCGGUGGAGUAACCAUUUUGGAGCUAGCCGUCGAAGGUGGGACAAAU
rnacentral:rRNA from 1 species